rnacentral:rRNA from 1 species
AGCGAACGCUGGCGGCAUGCCUAACACAUGCAAGUCGAACGGGGGGGCUUCGGCCUCCCAGUGGCGGACGGGGGAGGAACGCGGAGGGACCUGUCGAGGGGUGGGGGAUAACUGCGGGAAACUGCGGCGAAUACCGCAUGACGCCGCGGCGUGACAGCCUGGGCCAAAGGCGAAAGCGGCCCGCCGAGGGGGGUGCGUCCGAUUAGCCGGGUGGCGGGGUAGCGGGCCAGCAAGGCGGCGACCGGUAGCUGGUCGGGGAGGGUGAUCAGCCACACCGGGGCUGGGACACGGCCCGGACUCCGACGGGAGGGAGCAGAGGGGAAUAUUGGACGACGGGCGCAGGCCUGAUGCAGCCAUGCCGGGUGGGUGAAGAAGGUGUUAGGAUUGUGAAGCCGUUUCGGCGGGGACGAUGGUGACGGUACCCGCAGAAGAAGCCCCGGCUAACUUCGUG